GGCNNNCUACCAUGCAAGUCGAGCGGAGGCAUACGAGGAGCAAUCUGAGUAUGCCUGAGCGGCGGACGGGUGAGUAACGCGUGAGCAACCUGCCUUCCACAGGGGGAUAACGUACCGAAAGGUACACUAAUACCGCAUGAGACCACGGUACCGAUGGUAGUGGGGUCAAAGGAGCAAUCCGGUGGGAGAUGGGCUCGCGUCCGAUUAGGUAGUUGGCGGGGUAAUGGCCCACCAAGCCUGUGAUCGGUAGCCGGCCUGAGAGGGUGAACGGCCACAUUGGAACUGAGAGACGGUCCAAACUCCUACGGGAGGCAGCAGUGGGGAAUAUUAGGCAAUGGGGGGAACCCUGACCCAGCAACGCCGCGUGAGGGAAGAAGGUUUUCGGAUUGUAAACCUCUGUUCUUGGAGAAGAGUGGAAGACGGUAUCCAAGGAGGAAGCCCCGGCUAACUACGUGCCAGCAGCCGCGGUAAUACGUAGGGGGCGAGCGUUGUCCGGAAUGAUUGGGCGUAAAGGGCGCGCAGGCGGCCAUUCAAGUCAGUAGUGGAAGUCCAUUUUUCAAGGGUGGAAGUGCUAUUGAAACUGUAUGGCUUGAGUGCGGGAGAGGUUAUCGGAAUUCCCGGUGUAGCGGUGAAAUGCGUAGAGAUCGGGAGGAACACCAGUGGCGAAGGCGGGUAACUGGACCGCAACUGACGCUGAGGCGCGAAAGUGUGGGGAGCAAACAGGAUUAGAUACCCUGGUAGUCCACACGGUAAACGAUGAAUGCUAGGUGUAGGGGGUAUCGACCCCCUUCUGUGCCGCAGUAAACACAGUAAGCAAUUCCGCCUGGGGGAGUACGGUCGCAAGAUUAAAACUCAAAGGAAUUGAUGGGGGCCCGCACAAGCAGCGGAACAUGUGGUUUUAAUUCAAGCAACGCGAAAACCCUAACCAGUCUUGACAUCCAGGUAAAGCCGCAGAGAUGCGGUGUGCGCCUGGCACACUCUGAAACCGGUGGUCGCAUGGUUGCCGCCACCUCCUGUCCAGUAUUGUUC
rnacentral:rRNA from 1 species